rnacentral:lncRNA from 1 species
GCCAGCCCCAGUGCCUCUCCUGAAUGUCCUGGCCACCCGGGUGCAGAGGGGGUGGCAACCCUUUUGCAGAGGGAGGUAUUUUUCCUUCCACUUUUACCCAUGAGGAAGUGGAGGCCCAGGAAAGUGAGAGAGGUGGCUCAGCUUCCACCACUGGCCAGCGGUGUGGCCUGGAAUGCAGGCCCCAGCAACUUUGCAGCCUCCUGCCUUAAGGGAGUGGGCUGGACCCCAAAUGAAUCAGUCCCAGGCCGGGCGCGGUGGCUCACGCCUGUAAUCUCAGCACUUUGGGAGGCCAAGGUGGGUGGAUCACAAGGUUAGGAGAUCAAGACUAUCCUGGCUAACAUGGUGAAACCUCAUCUCUACUAAAAAUACAAAAAUUAGCCGGGUGUGGUGGCGUGCGCUUGUAAUCCCAGCUACUUGGGAGGCUGAGGCAGGAGAAUCGCUUGAACCCAGGAGGCGGAGGUUGCAGUGAGCUGAGAUCGCGCUGCUGCACUCCAGCCUGGGCGACAGAGCAAGACUCCACCUAAAAAAAAAAAAAAUUUAGUCCCAAAUGCCUCUCAGCUCCUGCCCUAUCCCAGACAUCUUAAAGCUCAGAGCUGGUCUGCUGCCUAUUUCCCAGCCUAGGUGCUCAGUGGAAGUUGGGCGCCUCCAGUUAUUUUCUGAGGUUGAAAAAGCUU